AGUGAACGCUGGCGGUAGGCCUAACACAUGCAAGUCGAACGGCAGCACAGUAAGAGCUUGCUCUUACGGGUGGCGAGUGGCGGACGGGUGAGGAAUACAUCGGAAUCUACUUUUUCGUGGGGGAUAACGUAGGGAAACUUACGCUAAUACCGCAUACGACCUACGGGUGAAAGCAGGGGAUCUUCGGACCUUGCGCGAUUGAAUGAGCCGAUGUCGGAUUAGCUAGUUGGCGGGGUAAAGGCCCACCAAGGCGACGAUCCGUAGCUGGUCUGAGAGGAUGAUCAGCCACACUGGAACUGAGACACGGUCCAGACUCCUACGGGAGGCAGCAGUGGGGAAUAUUGGACAAUGGGCGCAAGCCUGAUCCAGCCAUACCGCGUGGGUGAAGAAGGCCUUCGGGUUGUAAAGCCCUUUUGUUGGGAAAGAAAAGCAGCAGGUUAAUACCCCGCUGUUCGGACGGUACCCAAAGAAUAAGCACCGGCUAACUUCGC
rnacentral:rRNA from 1 species